ACACGACUACAUUAGAUACCCCCGUAGUCCUAGCCGUAAACGAUACUCGCUAGGUGUCGGCCACGGUGCGACCGUUGCCGGUGCCGUAGGGAAGCCGUGAAGCGAGCCACCUGGGAAGUACGGCCGCAAGGCUGAAACUUAAAGGAAUUGGCGGGGGAGCACCACAACGGGUGGAGCUUGCGGUUUAAUUGGAUUCAACGCCGGAAAUCUUACCGGGACCGACAGCAACAUGAAGGCCAGGCUGAAGACUUUGCCGGAUUAGCUG
rnacentral:rRNA from 1 species